GGGGGCUUCAGACGCUGGUAGAGAUAUCAGUUCCCUUGUGGUUGGUGUACAGGUGGUGCAUGGCUGUCGUCAGCUCGUGUCGUGAGAUGUUGGGUUAAGUCCCGCAACGAGCGCAACCCUUGUCCUGUAUUGCCAGCGGGUUAUGCCGGGGACUUGCAGGAGACUGCCGGGGUCAACUCGGAGGAAGGUGGGGAUGACGUCAAGUCAUCAUGCCCCUUAUGUCCAGGGCUUCACACAUGCUACAAUGGCCGGUACAGAGGGCUGCGAUACCGUGAGGUGGAGCGAAUCCCUUAAAGCCGGUCUCAGUUCGGAUCGGGGUCUGCAACUCGACCCCGUGAAGUCGGAGUCGCUAGUAAUCGCAGAUCAGCAACGCUGCGGUGAAUACGUUCCCGGGCCUUGUACACACCGCCCGUCACGUCAUGAAAGUCGGUAACACCCGAAGCCGGUGGCCUAACCCUUGUGGAGGGAGCCGUCGAAGGUGGGAUCGGCGAUUGGGACGAAGUCGUAACAAGGUAGCCGUAUUUUAUUUUCCGUUAAA
rnacentral:rRNA from 1 species